AUAAAUAAGCAAACAGACAAAUAAAUAAAUACAUAAAAUAGUGACAGAAUCCGUCUCGUGCAGUCACUGUGGAAGAGACGGCAACGUAUGAACACAUGGUUCAGUGUGCACUUGGCGGUGGCUCUCACAUGCAGGGUUUUGAGGGCCGCUCUAAAGAGUCCGAUAUGGGUGGAAGAUCCAGGACAGAGUUUGACCUUUGCCCAGGCUUUAACCCAAAGGGCUCAAUCAGUAAGAAGCAGGGCUGUCCAAAUUUCCCCCUGCUAGGAAGCUCCUAAGACAUUCCUUCUCACUCUUUGAACCUUAGAUUUACAUAUUCACCCCUCUAUACAGGAGUCAGGAAAAAGCCUUGGAAUUUACAACCCUAUGUAGGAACUCUGAUAAGGAGGAAAUGCAUGUUGUCACCUCCUUAGCAGAUGUUUCGGGGAGUGUCUUAUGGGGAGGACUCUUAGAAGUUAGGAUAGAUUUUCUCUCUCUAUCCUGUACCCUCAGAUGAAUAAACUGAGUCAGUCACUACUGCUCCGCCUGGCCCAUGUCUCACGUUUAUUUCGCGCCUUUCUGUUUGGUGGACUAUCUGGGCGUGGGAACAGGAGGGCCCUUAAACACUGUUUGUUUCAGAUUUCUAUGAAAGAUACAAAGGCAGAAAUGGGUAAUAAUGGCUCAUCAGCUUUGCAGAUGGGACCGAUGAGGGAGGAGCUCAGAGGCAGUGUCACAUAGGAUCUUGGCAGGCCAGAACAGGAAGCAGGAUCUUCUACUUGGGUCACGAUUGGCUAAGAGCUGGGAGUUGGGGUGGCUUGCAGGCUCCCUGAGUCAGCACAAGAGCCAAAGGGCCUUUGGCUUGCGUUAGUAUUAGAAUCUUCAGGAAUAGGGAGGGUAGAGUGUCCUGCUUAGAACCCAUUGGGAGGACAGCGUAUGAGAGAGGUGAUGAGCUAGGGGGUGCCCAGGAGGGCUGCUGGGAAGGGAGAGUGUCACUUUAUGUCCCAAGAGAAGGUUUAGCCUGGAGACUGGGUAGAGGGGGAUGGGCAGAACAUGUGCCAUUUCCUGCCAAUGUGCCCCUGGACCCUCCCCUCCCCAAGCUGUCCUCUCUCCUGUCAAGCCUUGCAGGACCAGGGUUAGGGUCAGAAAGUGCCCUUGGUUUGGAGCCAGAAGGACUUUCUUUUGGAAUACCAGCUCUGCCCUCGAUGAGAAUGCGUAGCUGCCAGCUGCUUGCUUCCUCUUCAGCCAUUUUCUGAGCUGCUUGUAGGCUGGGUUCCACCAGUUUGGGGCUAAAUCCUUUCUUUGGGCCUGAAAUUCUGAGAUUUGGGGGGGGGUGAGAGUAGCAGCAAGCUCCCUCUUCCUUCAGGGACUUACUCUGAUGCUGAUAGACCUGGCAUGGCCGAUGUCCACUGAAGGGGCAGUUUUGGGGGACCCUGCUAGUGUCUCGGGCCAACUGGAUCUGACCCCCAAGCCAGUGUGGCCGGCUGAUGAAGGAGGACCAUGCCCAGGUCACUCUUGGCUGCAAUGGUCCUGACUCGGGGCACAAAGUUGGGGUGCAGGCAGAUCCAGGAGCCGUUGAGCCAGGUCCCCAAGCCCCUCAUAGGCAGGAGGCCUGGAUUUCUGAGGGGCAUAAUGAGAGGAAUUCAGGUCCCUGGAGUGGGAAGAGGAACUCUAGCACCUAGCACCCGGCUUAGACACACAGGACAAUCAUCAAUCCAGCACCAGCAGCACAGGAGAGAGCCAGGCUUAGGCCACAGAGGCCCAGAAGAGCCCUCAUCGUCCCAUUCCGGUCCACAGGCUGGGAUGGCAUCCACAGUGCCAAGGGUGCUCGAGCUCUGCCCACUCUGGAGCGGAAAUGUUGAGGUCACAGGGACCCCCCAGUGUGACAUCUGCGUUGCCAGUCACCGUGCUAGGGGCAGCUCCCCCUGCUUCUGCUGCAGCCCAGCCCACACCCCCAUGUUUACCCUUACUCAGUGUCAGCUGAUUCAGCCAGAGGCACAGAGGAGAAGGAGGAAGGCCAAGAAACAGAGGGAAGAAGUCUGUCCAGGGCUUAAAGGAUGGAGAAUGAGCCAGUCAUGGGGUCAAACAUGAUUCUUUACUACCCGA